rnacentral:rRNA from 1 species
CUCGUAGGCGGUGUGUCGCGUCGGCCGUGAAAACUUACAGCUUAACUGUGGGCGUGCGGUCGAUACGGGCAUCACUGGAGUUCGGCAGGGGAGACUGGAAUUCCUGGUGUAGCGGUGAAAUGCGCAGAUAUCAGGAGGAACACCGGUGGCGAAGGCGGGUCUCUGGGCCGAUACUGACGCUGAGGAGCGAAAGCGUGGGGAGCGAACA